AUGAUGAAAAUCUUCACGGUUGCCCAUAAUCUGCUUAAAGCAGCUUGUGCAUGAGGCAGGUUAUGAGGUUAGAAACUCGGAUGCCAACUUGAUUCUCCAGAGACCAAAAGUCAGCCCAUAUGUGGAAGCUGUCAGGAAAAACUUAAGUGAGUUGCUCGGAGCAGAUCCCACAGCUGUCAACCUUAAAGCAAAAACUCAUGAGAAGGUCGACAGCCUUGGAGAACACCGGAGUAUUGCAGUUCAUUCUGUGGUUCUCCUUAUGCGGAAGUGGAGGGUAUGCAGAUAUCACAUGCCAUCGAACAUCAGCAGCUCUUCAUUUCUGGAGCCUCAAAUGGUAAGUUGAGUCCAAGAGAUUAGAAUGUUAAUUACACUCUCCCUAAGUGAGCAACAAAGUCCUAUCUUUCCUGAACAUGUGCGGUUCAUCAAAAGUGAGUCUGCAAUAUACGUCUCAUCAUAUCUGCAGGCUGCAGCUCAUGUCCAAAUGUUUUAACUUAUUGAUGGGAAGUCAUGUGGAUCCA